GUGAAUGUAGCUCAGUCGGUUAGAGUGCCAGGAUGUGACCCUGGAAGUCAAGAGUUCGAUCCUCUUCAUUCACACCA
rnacentral:tRNA from 1 species